GGGUGGGCAGGCGCAUGCGCGCGCGCAGCUGAAACGCCGGCUGAUGAAACUGACAAAGGCGAGAGCGCGCAGCAGCCCACAGCAGCCGAGUUCGCGCCGCCGGUAGGUGCUGCCAUGCCAGGGGGCGGGAUCGUGGAGCGCCUCGCAGAACCGCACGAAAGCAAAAACAAAGCCAUCUCUCCGGAGCAGAAAUAGAACAGACGUGGCCGGGGAAAGCCAAAUAUUUGUGAGAUGAUGUGAACAAAGGGGGAAAAGUCAAUCCAGGGAAGUUUGAGUUUCUGGUUGGAGGCUUCAGCGGCUCUGAUCGCUGGAUACUUUAAGAGAACAUCCUUUGCCCCCGCUCUCCCUCUCUCCCCGAAGAAAAAUAAAUCCUUGGCAAAAUGAGACUUGACGGCAUGAAAAGAAGGUCUCCAGACUGUCCCAGCUGGCGCGGGCGGGGCCGGGGCCGAGGUGCCGCUUGGUGACACUGCAGCCGCGGCUCAGCACUGUCACCCAGAAAGGCCCGCCGACGUCUGUAUGCAGGGAACGUGGCUCUUAGCAGAGCCUGGACAGGCGCAGGGCCAAGGAAGUCUUUGUUUUUGUUUCUUUCUCUAGCCCUUCCUGCCAAUACAUCAGGGAUAUAACUCCUUGGUGUUUCUGCCUUACAAUCGCUCCUUAUACCCCACCCAGAUCCUCAGCACUGCAGCUCCCACUGCCACUGCCCGCUGUGAGUCACCUCCCCCUCUCCCUUUUUUAAACCAAACGGCAAGGCCAUAUUGCAGUUAUCCAUAAAUGGAAAAGCAAGAAGCCACCAAUACCUGUUUGAGAAGAUGGCAUUUUAAUUAGCACACUCCGGCUGCCAUAAACCCGGGCUCCUGCCCCACCUCUCCCCCCGCCCCCUCCUCCCCCCUCCCCCGCCGUGCCCUCUCUCAACCUCCCCGCUCACCCCCAUCUAUGUAAAAAAGCCAUAAAGCCUCUCUCCAAUCGCUUUCUCGGAGGGAGUUUUUGCAACCCCCACAACACAGGUUGAUUGGAAAGGUCUCUCUCCCGGAUAACAACAAUUCAAUGUGCCUUGACAUUUUAAUAGCCUGCCGUCCUGGUGAACACAAUCGAGCAAGGCAGUGAAGCAAACAUCAUUAGGUGGCUGGACUCAGACACAUCACGCUCCAGUUUGGGUUCCAAGGUGCUUCUCUCUGGAUUUUCACCUGCCUUGCCAAAAAUGAUUGAUUACGCUGGGCCAACUGGGUGUCCGGCAAUACCCAACAAAUGACUUUGGCCCCUAACAGCAGGUCUUGGCCAGACAGAAAUCAAUAUUUCACCAUUAAAAUCUAUCAAAGAAGAGUUAAGGCACCAUCUGUCCCUGCCGCCUCUCUAUGGUGUGUGAACAUUAAAUCCGACACUUGUACUACAUGGGUAAUCAAUAUAUAGUGGUUCACAGAUCAUUUGUGGUUCCCUUUUAGCAGUGAUGGAUGUCUGGAAUCGUUGUGAUUCAUUUUGUCAGACCAUUAAACAAGAUUCUGUCCAGUUCCUUCCUGAU
rnacentral:lncRNA from 1 species